UACGUAGGGUGCAGGCGUUAAUCGGAAUUACUGGGCGUAAAGCGUGCGCAGGCGGUUUCUUAAGUCAGAUGUGAAAGCCCCGGGCUUAACCUGGGAACUGCGUUUGAAACUGGGAGACUUGAGUGCGGCAGAGGGGGGUGGAAUUCCACGUGUAGCAGUGAAAUGCGUAGAUAUGUGGAGGAACACCAAUGGCGAAGGCAGCCCCCUGGGUCAACACUGACGCUCAUGCACGAAAGCGUGGGGAGCAAACAGG
rnacentral:rRNA from 1 species